GACGAACGCUGGCGGCGUGCUUAACACAUGCAAGUCGAACGGAAAGGCUCCAGCUUGCUGGAGUACUCGAGUGGCGAACGGGUGAGUAACACGUGGGUAAUCUGCCCUGCACUCUGGGAUAAGCCUGGGAACCUGGGUCUAAUACUGGAUAUGACCUUUCUCCUUAUGGGGUUUGGUGGAAAGUUUUUCGGUGUAGGAUGAGCCCGCGGCCUAUCAGCUUGUUGGUGGGGUGAUGGCCUACCAAGGCGACGACGGGUAGCCGGCCUGAGAGGGUGAUCGGACACAUUGGGACUGAGGUACGGCCCAGACUCCUACGGGAGGCAGCAGUGGGGAAUAUUGCACAAUGGGCGGAAGCAUGAUGCAGCGACGCCGCGUGAGGGAUGACGGCCUUCGGGUUGUAAACCUCUUUCAGCAGGGACGAAGCGUAAGUGACGGUACCUGCAGAAGAAGCACCGGCUAACUAUGUG
rnacentral:rRNA from 1 species